rnacentral:misc_RNA from 1 species
CUGAGUUAUUAAAACUCCAAACCCUUUGUGAACCUUACCGUCGUUGCCUCGGCGUGAGCUACGGCUACCCGGGAGCUACCCUGGAAGUACCCUAGAGUUACCCUAUAGCUACCCUGCAGCUACCCUAUAGUUACCCUGGAGCUACCCUGGAGCUACCCUGUAGCCGGCUUAUGGCCCGCCGAAGGACAGCUAAACUCUUGUUUUUACUACUGUUUCUCUGAAUUACAAACUGAAAUAAGUUA